AUUGAACGCUGGCGGCAUGCUUUACACAUGCAAGUCGAACGGUAACAGCACUUCGGUGGCUGACGAGUGGCGAACGGGUGAGUAAUACAUCGGAACGUGCCUAGUAGUGGGGGAUAACUACUCGAAAGAGUAGCUAAUACCGCAUGAGAUCUAAGGAUGAAAGCAGGGGACCUUCGGGCCUUGCGCUACUAGAGCGGCUGAUGGCAGAUUAGGUAGUUGGUGGGAUAAAAGCUUGCCAAGCCGACGAUCUGUAGCUGGUCUGAGAGGACGACCAGCCACACUGGGACUGAGACACGGCCCAGACCCCUACGGGAGGCAGCAGUGGGGAAUUUUGGACAAUGGGCGCAAGCCUGAUCCAGCAAUGCCGCGUGCAGGAUGAAGGCCUUCGGGUUGUAAACUGCUUUUGUACGGAACGAAAAGCCCUCUUCUAAUACAGGAGGGUCAUGACGGUACCGUAAGAAUAAGCACCGGCUAACUACGUG
rnacentral:rRNA from 1 species